rnacentral:rRNA from 1 species
UACGUAGGGGGCAAGCGUUGUCCGGAUUUAUUGGGCGUAAAGAGCGUGUAGGCGGCCAGACAGGUCCGUUGUGAAAACCCGAGGCUCAACCUCGAGACGCCGAUGGAAACCGUCUGGCUAGAGUCCGGAAGAGGAGAGUGGAAUUCCUGGUGUAGCGGUGAAAUGCGCAGAUAUCAGGAAGAACACCCGUGGCUAAGGCGGCUCUCUAGUACGGUACUGACGCUGAGACGCGAAAGCGUGGGGAGCGAACAGG